rnacentral:lncRNA from 1 species
AAAAAACAACAACAAAUAAUGCAUCUUCCUUAUUCCCCGUUUGGUCCUUUUCUAUUUAAAGCCCCUCUAAAAACAAAAUCAUAAACAUUUCUGCUCUCUUUUUUUCAAGCAUUAACAUACUGUCCGACGUAGUUUUUAUUUUUCGACAGCCAAAGGAUGUUUGAAUUAUUUGUGCUAGGGUGUACUGGUGUUGUGAUGUUCCUACAUGGAGCCAAUUUUUUCUUCCAUGGUCUCUCUCAUAGUUCUCUCAGGUACAACGCCUUCUUUUAUCUUCAAUUUUUUGUUUCUUCUGUUUUUGAGUUUUAAUUAAGACCAGUUUAAAUGGAGUAAUUUGGAUCGUGAAAAUUCAUAUAGCAAAGUUGUUGAUUUGUGUUCGAGUUUUGAUUUUAUCUAAGAUAAUCUAUUCUUGUUUGCUAUCCAAAUGUAUGCUUUUUUUUUUUCCUCCACUUGCACUUAUAGCUGAAACAGUUGAUAAUUUCCAUAUUCUUAAAGGUUUUUAUUUAUAAAAUUGGUGAGCUAUAGUAGUUUUCUGUAAGUUUAUAAAUGUAAUUUAAUUUUUCUGGUUAUAGUUAAAGAAGUAAGGCACACAAAAAAUUAGAUGUUCUUUUGGAGCAGAGAUGGGGAACGAAAAUUUUAUAUGCUUUCCCUUUUUUCCUAUCUUACCUUACACAUCAAAAGUCAAAAACUACUCACUUUUCAGAUUGCUUAAUUGUCUUAUUGUUCACUAUUUUGCUCAAUUUAUUAGUCUAAAUACACUUCUCUAUAGAUAGACUACAAAGUGGGGAAAUGAAGAGCAAAAAAUAAAAAUGAGAGUUCUCUAGAAUUAAAAGUUUUCGGAAUAAAUUAGGUUUCAAAGGAGUAUAUUUUUAUGUAUUACUUAGCUGAAUAUUUCCGGUCUACUAUUUGAUUUGAUUUUAAUAUAUGGGUUUAAAUUUUCUUGAGUGCAGCUUCUUAGGAUUUGUUGGUUGGUAAAGAAAUGUCGAGAAUGAUGAGCUAAAGGAAGCUU